CCUACGGGGUGCACCAGUGGGGAAUAUUGCACAAUGGGCGCAAGCCUGAUGCAGCCAUGCCGCGUGUAUGAAGAGGGCCUUCGGGUUGUAAAGUACUUUCAGCGGGGAGGAAGGCGAUAAGGUUAAUAACCUUGUCGAUUGACGUUACCCGCAGAAGAAGCACCGGCUAACUCCGUGCCAGCAGCCGCGGUAAUACGGAGGGUGCAAGCGUUAAUCGGAAUUACUGGGCAUAAAGCGCACGCAGGCGGUCUGUCAAGUCGGAUGUGAAAUCCCCGGGCUCAACCUGGGAACUGCAUUCGGAACUGGCAGGCUAGAGUCUUGUAGAGGGGGGUAGAAUUCCAGGUGUAGCGGUGAAAUGCGUAGAGAUCCGGAGGAAUACCGGUGGCGAAGGCGGCCCCCUGGACAAAGACUGACGCUCAGGUGCGAAAGCGUGGGGAGCAGACAGGAUUAGAUACCCCAGUAGUC
rnacentral:rRNA from 1 species